rnacentral:lncRNA from 1 species
CACAAAAGAGAAUGACUUUCCUCUCUCUCUCGGUUAUGUAUCAGACCAACAAACAAAGAGAAAUCACCUUCCUCACACAAAACCCAACACUCACAAUACUCUCUCUCGAUUCCUAAGCAGUAUCCACAAAAACCCAUUAUCCUCUCAAAAGUUGCCUCUCAUCUCUCUUGAUUUCUUUGAGCAGACAACAAAACACACAUCUCGGUCUCCUCUCCAUCUCAAGUUUCCUAUUCAAGCCGAGCAUCGGGCGGUGCCAGCCAUGCUCCUCCGGCCGUGACUUCCGACAACCACCCACACCACCAUCACGACCCUCCUACACCUGCAAGCACCCCCCUUUUCCUCGAUAAUAGAACAGACCACCACCACCAUCAUCGGGUGGUGGUGAGCGGUGGUGCCGCGAUCGAGAGAGAGAAAGCGAGGAGAGAAAGGGAGGUGGUGACGGCCGAUCGGAGACAGAGAAGCAGUGCCGCUGCUCACGGUGGCGGUGGCGGAAUCAAAGAACGUCGGCGGCGGCGGUGGUGGAACCAGACGGUGGCGAAAGUGGUGGUCGGAGACUUGACCCGGUGGUCGGAGACUCGGACCGGUGGUAGGCGUCACGGACCGGCGGUCCCUGUCUUUAUCCGGCGUGUUUCUUUGAUUAUGAAGAUGGGGACUAACGACAGUAGUGGUGGCUGUCCGUGGCGACUCGGGGCAACAGUGGACAAAUCACGAGUCCACUCGGUCAGAUUCAGCCGCAGUGCGGGUAUUAUUCGACAUAUUCAAGUGUGGUUCGGGUGGAGGUACGGCUCGGUUUGGCUUAGCAGAUUGGAUUGUUCAGGUCUGUUUUGGUUUGAGGUUCGGUCAAACUCGGUCAAUCGAGUCAACGCAGCGAGUCAACUCAGUUGACUCGGUCAACUCAGUCAACGUUUGACGUGAAGAUGGGAAUAUUGUAGAAUGCACGCUAGCAAGUCCCGUCUUGGAAACGACAUCGCAAAGUCGUAUUUAGCUAGCUUUGCAAGGAAUAUUCAGGUUGCAUUUUAAGACAAGGCACGGUUGGAAUAGGAGAACCAUGAAGAGUCGAGUACUUAGUGGCGUUCAUUUUCUAAAGGACUUAGAUUGUUUGCUUCCGCUGUGCAAUGAAGAUACCAGUCUAGUCACGCCAAUGCUCUGAUAAUUUCGGGGUGUGACACGAGUCAGGUGAAAUAUAAUAUGUUUUCUUGAUUAUUUUAUGAAUGUUUUCUAAAUUUUAUUUCGAUCGGAGUGGAGUUAAAUUGCGGUUUCAUUUUUUCCCUUUUUUUAAACGCUCUAAUUAAUCUCUUUUGAUUAUACGUGACAACUUUUCCGUUAUACCCAUUACAUUUUCUAUGUAUGACUAGGGUCACAUGUAAUACGUUAUAAUUGUAUGACAUAAAUUUGAUUUACUUUAUGUUUUGU